rnacentral:lncRNA from 1 species
UCAGUAACCCAUUUCCCCCUUUUCCCAUUUACCCUUUUCGACAUUUCUCCCUAACCUAACCCUAAGCCUGUGCCCUCCUCCCAUUUUUCUCAAUUCGAGUUCACCUCCGGCAGCAAUCCACCUCUGAUCCUCCACCGAUCCACGACCAGACCUCCACGGCUCCACCCAUUUCCAGAAUCAGAGGUUAGAGCGAAGCUACAAACGUUGUUGCCUUAUAGUUCCUUUUUUGUUUGAUGUCUUUUGUUUAUAAUCUGUUUAUAAUCUUCUUUAUAAUCUGUUGAUGUUGCCUUACUGAUGUUGCCUUACAGUUCCCUUUGUUUAGCUGUUUAUAAUUUGUCGUUGUUGCCUACUAUUGUUGCCUUACAGUUCCAUUUGUUUCGUUGUUGCCUUACUGUUGUUGCAUUGCAUCUCAAUAUUUUUAUGGACAUUUAAUUUAUGCUUUACAAGAUUCAUUCACUGCGACAUUCUUAAACAUAUGAUUCCUUUUUUUUUAUCAAAUAUUUAACAUAUGAUUUUUGUCUCCAAAUCCAAAGUCAAAUAAUUAUAUAUAAAACUUUAUUUGCAAUAUGAUAUUGCUGUUUGACUCACUUCCAAGUGAACUUAUAUGGGCAUUUUAGCUCUUAAUUUGUGUUUUAAGCUAUUAUCCCAGGAGUUAACAUCAAAAACUUUGUAAUAAUAUUCAUGUAACUAAAUAAAUUGAUUGCGACAAGCUGACGUUAGUUGAAUUAAGGGUACCAAUCCUAAAUAAUUUUUAUUUUCUAUCACAAAUGGCAGACAAUUUGCUUCUUCCAUCCACUGACUGUUGUACCAAGUGCCUGUUUUAUAAUCUGUCUUCUGUUUUCUCUUAAUUUCUCUUACUUUCUCUUAUUUGAAAUUUUAUACUCUGGUUUAUAUUCUGGUUUAUAAUCUGGUUUAUACCUUGUUGCUUCUUUUUUAUAUCUGAAAUUUUAUAUUCUGGUUUAUAAUCUGGUUUAUACCUUGUUGCUUCUUUUUUUAUAUAUGAAAUUUUAUAUUCUGGUUUAUAAUCUGGUUUAUACCUUGUUGCUUCUUUUUUUAUAUAUGAAAUUUUAUAUUCUGGUUUAUAAUCUGGUUUAUACCUUGAUGCUUCUUUUUUAUAUUUGUGACAUUUUUUGACAGUUUUGGUAUUAUUUGACAGUUUUUUGCAGCUUAAAACUUAAAAGCAAUAGCAGUGCUUAUUGCCCAAUGAUAAUAUGCUGCUAGUCCUUAUUACUUGUAUAAUCAUUUUUAUUUUUAUUCUCUUUUUUUAAGAAUUGAUUGUUAGUUUGUUACCUAAAUGUCACAAAUGUGUUAUUAUAGACAAUUAAAUAACAUUUAAAUUCAAUUAGUUGUUAAUUUUUUAAACUUACAGUGUAUUAGUUUAGUGUAAUACUACAUCAAUUCUAACAUAAAGUUUAUAGAUAACAUGAUGAAAGCUAUUAUUUUAAAUUUUUUUCAUUAUAUACAAAAAAAAAUAUAAUUUGAUAUUUGAUAUAACUUUAAUAAAAAUUAGUUUUAACUUUUAAGUUAAAAAAAGGGCCGGACCGGGCCGGGCUUCAUAUUUUUUCCACGGGCUGGGCUUGGGUUACAUCUCAAGCUCAUAUUUCGGGCUGGGCCUGGCCUAGUAAGCGGGCCGAAUUUUUUUUCU